UGAAGGUUCAGUAAAUGAUUGGACAUUAUAAUUAAUUAAAGUAUGUUAGUUCAUGUUUUAAAAUUGUAAUAGCUUCGAGAUUGGUGUUUUAGGCUCAGCUUAUGUUAGAGAGAGACAUUUCUAGAAACCAUAAAUGCUAUAUAAAAGAAUAACCACAUGGUUUAUGUAUAUGUUGUGUCUAUUGCAAUGGCUUUUACAAAGGAACAAUAUUGUUUAUUAAGUGAUGUGAAUUAUACAAUUAUUCUCUCUGUCAGCUAUGUAAUUAUGCUCACCAUGCACAUGUUUUAGCUAAUGAUUCUUUGUUUCUUGUCAAGUAUCUAACUGAUUUUUUCAGCAUCUUCUUUGUUUGAACUAUUAAGUUAGGUAAUCUAAAGCCCAGACUCAAUAGCUCAAAACAUUGUUCUACAUUUAAGCUCGAUUUCAUCUCAUGUCUCUCAUUCAGCUUUAGAAAAAAUUUGUCUUUAAACUUGCAAUCAUAUAGCAACCAAAAAUAAAUAAAUAAAUAAAUAAAAUUUGUGAACAUUUCUUUGUGGGGAAAUUUUUUGCAUCACCUGAUGUAAGGCUUGCUUGUACUUGUUUGGAUUAGUCCAUUUUUUAUAUGCUGCAGUUUAUGGUUUUGAUUACUCUUUUUUUUUUUUUUUCUUUGAUGGGGUUUGAUUUGAUUACUCUUACUUAAUCAUGUUAUGCAUGGAAGCUGUCAGGAAGAUUGAUUUCCAUUGUCAGUGAAGAGGGCCCAUUUUAGAUUAUUGGCCAUGAAGAGAGGAUACCAAGAAUCUUCUUCGUCGGGUUCUCUUAGACCGCCUCAAUCCAAAAUCAAACACAACCCAGAAGAUUUUGUUGAGGGAAUAGUUGAUAUGAUCGAGCGGGUGAUGUUGGGAGCCAAAGAUUAUGUUGCACUUUUUUUUUUUUUUUUUUAAGACUUGAAUUUUUUAGUACAGUGUAUUUAAGGAUGGUUAAUGGAUAAUGUCUAUUAUAAAUUUAAUUAAUUUGUUAAUUUUGUUA